AACGAACGCUGGCGGCAGGCCUAACACAUGCAAGUCGAGCGAGGACUUCGGUUCUAGCGGCGGACGGGUGAGUAACGCGUGGGAAUGUGCCCUUCUCUACGGAAUAGCCCUGGGAAACUGGGAGUAAUACCGUAUACGCCCUAUUGGGGAAAGAUUUAUCGGAGAAGGAUCAGCCCGCGUUGGAUUAGGUAGUUGGUGGGGUAAUGGCCUACCAAGCCGACGAUCCAUAGCUGGUUUGAGAGGAUGAUCAGCCACACUGGGACUGAGACACGGCCCAGACUCCUACGGGAGGCAGCAGUGGGGAAUCUUAGACAAUGGGGGCAACCCUGAUCUAGCCAUGCCGCGUGAGUGAUGAAGGCCUUAGGGUUGCAAAGCUCUUUCAGCUGGGAAGAUAAUGACGGUACCAGCAGAAGAAGCACCGGCUAACUCCGUG
rnacentral:rRNA from 1 species